rnacentral:lncRNA from 1 species
AUGGAUUCUGGGGUGACUCAGGCACUAGGGGCUCUUUUCCUUCACCCCAGUUUUCUGGGAACUGCUCUGUGCACAGCGGCCAGGCUGGGAGGAGAGUGUGGCUGUCGUCUCUGCUCCCGGCAGGAGACUGACUAUUGCAGGAAGACCCUUCAGGGCGCCUUUCACAGCCUCAUUCAUGUACAAAGCAUCAGCUUUGUCCCGUCUUUUCACAUGACGCUCCAAAGAACAAGAGGCAUUUGCUCAGCUCAUUUCAGGAGAGCGCUCAGCCUUGCCAAACGUCCUUUAUAUGGAAGGAAACAGGCAGUCACUUCUACAAACAGCUCUGAUAACGGCUUCUCAGGAAAUCCGGGCCUGUGCAGCCCGAGGUGGGGGCAAGCUUCCCCCCUGAGACUCUGGGCAGGGAUCCUGCGUGCUCUGCUGGUAGAACACCUGGGCAGGUGGCAGAGGGGGCUGGGGACACUUGGCCAGGGUCCUCUCAGGGGCAGAGCCCUCAGUUCAUUUGCUUCUGCUGGGAUCCCCAACUGCCCCUUUUCAGACCCAAAACAAAGUUUUCAAAUGGCGGAAACUGAAGCACUGAAGAUGAUAAUUUGGAUCAUUUUGACUUUGUUUUUGCUCUCACUUAACAGAACCCUGAGUCUACCUUCCUUGGUGGAGCUUUGCCUACGUCUCCGAGACCUGUACAGGGUACCUUUCUGGGAAGAUAGAGCCUGCUGUGCCAGAGGACGGCUUUCUGCCCAGGCUCGUGGCCGUCCCCACUCACCAGUGAACGCCUGCACUCCUGCCUUUGGUAAAGCUUCUUUCUGCUACAGAAACAGCACAGGGGCCUCGACUCGUCAGAAACAGGAGAGGAGACCUUCUAAUGGCAAGAACCCACCUGGGCCUCUGGUGAAGGUGCUCUGGAUGUGGUUGAUUGAUACGCCGCUGUUCUGUCCAGAACCGUAUCCCACUUCACUUGGAUACAUGCCCAUCCUUUGGAGCCGGAGACCUGGCGGGUGUGGCUGGUGGGAUGGAUGA